GCGGCGUGCCCCGCGGCCCUCCCCGCCACCGCAGCCCGCCCCUCCACCGAGCCAGGCCACGGCGUCGCCCCCUUCCCGCGGCAUCGGUAUCGGUCGGGUGUGUCUCGGUCCAGAUGCAUACAUAGGCUGGCGGAGGGCAUCGUUUUCCUCCGGAUUCCCUUCCCACCGGGCUGCUUCGUCACCAGAUCCGUCGUCCACUGACCCCAUCCUCUAUACAUACGGUCUGAUGAGUUGGUUUUGCUUGUGUUGUGAGGAGGCAUGUUGUGGUUAACAUCGAGUCAGGGUGCCUACCUUUGUAUUUGAAUCUGUGAGAUCUGGACCGUCAACCGCCAUGACCAUGAUCAACGCGUCCUCGGCCUCCUAGACGAGGAUGGAAUGAGCAGGGCAAGAGAAGAGGAGGGAGCAGGCCGACGCCCGACGGUGACCUGACCAUCCUCCUGGAUCUCACCGGCAACCCCCUGGCCUGGAGGCCGCCCGCCCGCCCGCCGUCAGUGCGGGGCCUGCGGCACCACUUCCUCGUGCUCCUCCUUAACAUCCAGGACCAGGACGACCACCGGGACCUCCAUGACGAUGACGAAGCCCCGCACAUGGUCGAGCUCGAUGGAACAACAGUGCCUCGGUGUGGUGCAGCCGAGUUGGGCCAACGACUACGUUAUGGUCCUCGUUAUGGUCGAGUUUUUGUUUUGACCUUGUGAAACUUGCUACCUAUGGAUGAAACUGUGUAAUAUUGAUGAAACUAUGUAUAUGUACGGAUGAAACUUGCUACUA